AAUACUAACGGGAACGCCCACCGUGUGACGUCACUACCUUAUGUGACGGCGGGCUUCUGACGCUGAUAUCGGGCACAGCGUACUUCCGGUUUCUGCUCGCACUAACAAAAUGCCUGGCGCGAAUUGUGUUUUGUUCGGAUGUUCCGCCUGCAAUAAAAGAAAUCGGGGUUGAUCAUUCUAUCGCUUACCCAAAAACAACAUAGAGUGGAGAGAGAAUCAUUACGUAUCAUACAGUCUACCAGAUCAGACCCGAUAAAUGACAAGACCUUGACAAUAUGUUCAAGACACGUUGAGUCGGAUUAUUUCGUUGAAAAAAUGUUUACAAAAAUUCUGGGACCACAUAUGGAAGAUUAAAAGAAGGGUUUGGGAGACUAUCAACCUUAAUUCUUCUACAGAAAAGCGUAACAACAAAGAAAUUGAAUCCAAGGAAGUCACCGAGUCCAAGGAAAACCGAGGAAACUCAAUGUUUACAUAUUAAAGGAAGUAACCUUUCAGAUGUUGCAGAAAUCAUUUUUAUGUCAAAUGCCUGCUUUGUGGCUAUGUCAGUCUUCAAGUGAUUAUAUCUAUCUGUUUAAAACUGAAGAUAAAAGUGUAACAUACCUUUUAACCAUUGACAAGGACUUGAAUUGUGAAGUACAAUAUAAUAAUUUUUGUUUCCUGUUCAAAUUAAAGUUACAUCUAUAGAUUUACUUAUAAGAACUGUUGAGAAUAUGAAGAUAUGUAGGGGCAUAACAUCAAAACAUUUACAGUCUUAUUUUCAAUGUCACCCUACAACUGUAAGAUAUAUCAGACAGGUUGAUCUUUUCAUGAACACAAAUAA